rnacentral:tRNA from 1 species
UGGUAGCCGCCGGAAGAACGGAUAUUAUUGAUGUUAAUAAGCAUGGGUAUAAACCCGCUACCAU